GAUGAACGCUGGCGGCAUGCCUAAUACAUGCAAGUCGAACGAGAGGAAGGAAAGCUUGCUUUUCUGAAUCUAGUGGCGAACGGGUGAGUAACACGUGGGUAACCUGCCCAUGUGCCCGGGAUAACUUCUGGAAACGGAUGCUAAAACCGGAUAGGUAGCAGACAAGCAUUUGACUGCUAUUAAAGUGGCUAAGGCCAUGAACAUGGAUGGACCUGCGGUGCAUUAGCUAGUUGGUGAGGUAACGGCCCACCAAGGCGACGAUGCAUAGCCGGCCUGAGAGGGCGGACGGCCACAUUGGGACUGAGACACGGCCCAAACUCCUACGGGAGGCAGCAGUAGGGAAUUCUCGUCAAUGGGGGGAACCCUGAACGAGCAAUGCCGCGUGAGUGAGGAAGGUCUUCGGAUCGUAAAGCUCUGUUGUAAGAGGAAAACGACAUUCAUAGGGAAUGAUGAGUGAGUGAUGGUAUCUUACCAGAAAGUCACGGCUAACUACGUGCCAGCCGCCGCGGUAA
rnacentral:rRNA from 1 species